UACGAAGGGUGCAAGCGUUACUCGGAAUUACUGGGCGUAAAGCGUGCGUAGGGGGUUUGUUAAGUCUGAUGUGAAAGCCCUGGGCUCAACCUGGGAACGGCAUUGGAAACUGGCUUACUAGAGUGCGGUAGAGGGGUGUGGAAUUCCCGGUGUAGCAGUGAAAUGCGUAGAUAUCGGGAGGAACAUCUGUGGCGAAGGCGACACCCUGGACCAGCACUGACACUGAGGCACGAAAGCGUGGGGAGCAAACAGG
rnacentral:rRNA from 1 species